CCUGGCUCAGGAUGAACGCUAGCGGCAGGCUUAACACAUGCAAGUCGAACGGUAACAUUCUCUGCUUGCAGAGAGAUGACGAGUGGCGCACGGGUGCGUAACGCGUAUGCAACCUACCUAUAACAGGGGGAUAGCCCAGAGAAAUUUGGAUUAAUACCCCAUAAUACAUGAGAAUCGCAUGGUUUUCAUGUUAAAGCUUCGGUGGUUAUAGAUGGGCAUGCGUGACAUUAGCUAGUUGGUAAGGUAACGGCUUAUCAAGGCAACGAUGUCUAGGGGUUCUGAGAGGAUUAUCCCCCACACUGGUACUGAGACACGGACCAGACUCCUACGGGAGGCAGCAGUGAGGAAUAUUGGGCAAUGGACGCAAGUCUGACCCACCCCUGCCGCGUGUAGGAAGACGGCCUUAUGGGUUGUAAACUACUUUUAUAUAAGAAGAAACGCUUCUACGUGUAGAAGUCUGACGGUAUUAUAUGAAUAAGCACCGGCUAACUCCGUGCCAGCAGCCGCGGUAAUACGGAGGGUGCAAGCGUUAUCCGGAUUCAUUGGGUUUAAAGGGUGCGUAGGCGGAUGACUAAGUCAGUGGUGAAAUCCUACAGCUCAACUGUGGAACUGCCAUUGAUACUGGUUGUCUAGAAUUUAGUUGAAGUGGGCGGAAUAUAGCAUGUAGCGGUGAAAUGCAUAGAUAUGUUAUAGAACACCGAUAGCGAAGGCAGCUCACUAAGUUAACAUUGACGCUGAUGCACGAAAGCGUGGGUAGCGAACAGGAUUAGAUACCCUGGUAGUCCACGCAGUAAACGAUGAUUACUCGUUGUUGGCGAUACACAGUCAGCGACUGAGCGAAAGCAUUAAGUAAUCCACCUGGGGAGUACGAUCGCAAGGUUGAAACUCAAAGGAAUUGACGGGGGCCCGCACAAGCGGUGGAGCAUGUGGUUUAAUUCGAUGAUACGCGAGGAACCUUACCAGGGCUUAAAUGUAGUUUGACAGGACUGGAAACAGUUUUUUCUUCGGACAGAUUACAAGGUGCUGCAUGGUUGUCGUCAGCUCGUGCUGUGAAGUGUCGGGUUAAGUCCCAUAACGAGCGCAACCCCUAUCUUUAGUUGCCAGCGGAUCAUGCCGGGGACUCUAAAGAAACUGCCAGCGCAAGCUGUGAGGAAGGUGGGGAUGACGUCAAAUCAUCACGGCCCUUACGUCCUGGGCCACACACGUGCUACAAUGGUAGGUACAGAGGGCAGCUACCUGGUGACAGGAUGCGAAUCUCAAAAGCCUAUCUCAGUUCGGAUCGUAGUCUGCAACUCGACUACGUGAAGCUGGAAUCGCUAGUAAUCGCGCAUCAGCCAUGGCGCGGUGAAUACGUUCCCGGGCCUUGUACACACCGCCCGUCAAGCCAUGGAAGCUGGGGGUACCUGAAGUUGGUGACCGUAAAAGGAGCUACCUAGGGUAAAACUGGUAACUGGGGCUAAGUCGUAACA
rnacentral:rRNA from 1 species